rnacentral:rRNA from 1 species
UUCGCCCUUAGAGUUUGAUCCUGGCUCAGGACGAACGCUGGCGGCGCGCCUAACACAUGCAAGUCGAACGGAGCUUAGAGAGCUUGCUUUUUAAGCUUAGUGGCGAACGGGUGAGUAACGCGUGAGUAACCUGCCCUAGAGUGGGGGACAACAGUUGGAAACGACUGCUAAUACCGCAUAAGCCCACGGUACCGCAUGGUACUGAGGGAAAAGGAUUUAUUCGCUUUAGGAUGGACUCGCGUCCGAUUAGCUAGUUGGUGAGGUAACGGCCCACCAAGGCGACGAUUGGUAGCCGGACUGAGAGGUUGAACGGCCACAUUGGGACUGAGACACGGCCCAGACUCCUACGGGAGGCAGCAGUGGGGGAUAUUGCACAAUGGGGGAAACCCUGAUGCAGCGACGCCGCGUGGAGGAAGAAGGUUUUCGGAUUGUAAACUCCUGUCGUUAGGGACGAUAAUGACGGUACCUAACAAGAAAGCACCGGCUAACUACGUGCCAGCAGCCGCGGUAAAACGUAGGGUGCAAGCGUUGUCCGGAAUUACUGGGUGUAAAGGGAGCGCAGGCGGGAAGACAAGUUGGAAGUGAAAACCAUGGGCUCAACCCAUGAAUUGCUUUCAAAACUGUUUUUCUUGAGUAGUGCAGAGGUAGAUGGAAUUCCCCGGUGUAGCGGUGGAAUGCGUAGAUAUCGGGGAGGAACACCAGUGGCGAAGGCGGUCUACUGGGCACCAACUGACGCUGAGGCUCGAAAGCAUGGGUAGCAAACAGGAUUAGAUACCCUGGUAGUCCAUGCCGUAAACGAUGAUUACUAGGUGUUGGGGGAUUGACCCCCUCAGUGCCGCAGUUAACACAAUAAGUAAUCCACCUGGGGAGUACGACCGCAAGGUUGAAACUCAAAGGAAUUGACGGGGGCCCGCACAAGCAGUGGAGUAUGUGGUUUAAUUCGACGCAACGCGAAGAACCUUACCAAGUCUUGACAUCCUGCGACGCACAUAGAAAUAUGUGUUUCCUUCGGGACGCAGAGACAGGUGGUGCAUGGUUGUCGUCAGCUCGUGUCGUGAGAUGUUGGGUUAAGUCCCGCAACGAGCGCAACCCUUAUGGUCAGUUACUACGCAAGAGGACUCUGGCCAGACUGCCGUUGACAAAACGGAGGAAGGUGGGGAUGACGUCAAAUCAUCAUGCCCUUUAUGACUUGGGCUACACACGUACUACAAUGGCGUUAAACAAAGAGAAGCAAGACCGCGAGGUGGAGCAAAACUCAGAAACAACGUCCCAGUUCGGACUGCAGGCUGCAACUCGCCUGCACGAAGUCGGAAUUGCUAGUAAUCGCAGAUCAGCAUGCUGCGGUGAAUACGUUCUCGGGCCUUGCACACACCGCCCGUCA